UUUAUUUCGUGGGUUCCAUAGACUGCUACUGCUCAACUGUCAUUUUCUGCAACCAGGUAGGCUCCGCCCAUAAAAAACGUCAUCGCUGUUUGCAAACACCAAAUUGGUCUAUACAUUCUGCAAACAAAUCCUCACUGACCCACACAGAUCUAAAACAGCAAUGCAUAACUAAAAGCUAAAAGGAAGGAAGCGGUCCGGAAUACUGAUUUCAGCAUGUUCGGAGGUACGGCCAAAAUGAAUAGCUGAGUUAAGACCAUAUACGCUCCCCUGGACUUCAGCUGUUUCAGAAUAUGGCUUCUGACUCUUGUCUGUGGGUGUUCGUGAAGUUAUUAGGUUUCCUUGUUGAGUCCAACCUGUAACUGUAUACAAUGGCAGGUUUCACUGCACUAGCUGAGAGCAUGCUGGACUAAAGUGUGGCUUUGAGUUUUGAUGGGCUCUUUAGGCUAUAAUCAGAGGAAGACAUGUUCACGCCUAAGCGGUCAUACCUAAUCAGGCAAGGUAGAAAAUACCAUUUAUACCAGCUCAGCUCAGGUUACUUCACUGAGUCGCCUCCUCUGCUUUUCCCACACACUGUUGUCCUCUAUCAGGUUUAUGAAGGCUUGAUUACCAACACUUUAAUGAGGAAAAUCUAGUUACACAAGAAAAUUAGUCUUGGGAAAACUUGGCACCACUGAAGAUCAAUCAGAGAUCAUCUGCAGUAAGUAAAAAUAAUAUAAUAAUAAAACAGUAAACGUACUGUGAAUGAUUUCCAAACAGCACCAGAUAUAAAGCGUGGAAAAGGUUGAAUUAGUUAGAAUUUCUGUAGAAUAUAACAGACAUGAAAACAAAAGUGGAAUAUGCUGUUCUUGAGAAUAUCCCAGGAAUAUACAGUACUGUGCAAAAGUCUUAGGCCACCACCAGCUUUGUUAUUUUAGCAAUGUUUUAAUGACCAUCCAUAAAAAAAAUAUACAGGAAAUAUGUACACAAAACGUAAAAACAACAACAACAACAAAAUGUCAUCUUUAAGCAAAAAUCAGUGUGACCUCCUGGACUUCUUCCAUUUUCUCAAAGAAGAAAAUUUGACAAACUUUUCAUCAGAUUUUGAAAGAUAGUUUUCUUGGCCUUCCAGUCUUUUUCCUUUUUCCGUGCUAUUGUAAGGGGAGGUCACUAAAUACUUGUCAUUUUUUUAAAUUCUGCAUACAAAUUUCCUGUAUUUUCUGGUUAUAUUCUAAUAAAGAGACUGAUAAAUAAUUAUAUUUGGUCAUUAUACCAUUGCUAAAACAACAUUUAAUGGUGGCCUAAGACUUUUGCACAAUACUGAAUAUUAUUAAGUGCAUCAAACGAAACUUAUCUUUCAAAGGUUUAUUCACAUGCACCUUUCUUUUGUAUCUUGGAUCAUGAAUUUUGUUUGCUUUUUGAUCAUUCCAUACCAUGGUUAACAUGUCUCAUCUUUGCCAGCACUUUUCAUUCAAUAAGAUAAGGAGGUGUAAAGCUAGUCAUGGAUUAUGUACAUUGGGACCAGAAAAUACCCUAAAGUCAUCAUGAUCAGUUUCUGAGCAUAUCCCAAUUCAGAGUAUGGUUCACAUUCUCUCUUACUGUACCACUGGACGGAAAUCUGCUAGAGACACAAUAAAUCCAGUCAGUUAGGCCAAGAAUUGUUUCUUCUUUCUUUUUCUACAUUAUAAUGAUUUUGACACAUUUACAUUACGAUGUUUCCCUAGAAACUAAGUGAUACAGUUGUUUGUAAGUAAUGCAGAGAGUCGAGUAAAGCAGGUUUGGAUGACUGACUUUUGCUUUCACACACAAGUUUUAACCCUUAAAAACCCAUCGUCGUCAUAUAAGUAGAUCAUUGCCUGCAGCUGCUUCACUGGCCCUCAUUCAGUGUAAUCCAUAUUUGUGAGGUCAAUAUCUCCUGCUGUUUUUAUAUUCCAUCACCAAUUACUCAGGGUCCGUAAUCCUGUUUUUGACACAGAUCAUUUCACAUCAGGCUGCACCUGUUCAUUCAGCACUGGAUUCGUUGAACACGUUAUAAUGAAGCGGAGUAAUUUAUUUAGGAUUUUAAAGCUAACAAGGAUAUCUACGUUGUUUAAACGAUCUGACGUCUUCUCCCAGAGGAAGCCUCCACUCACCCAUUAUCUAUCUGCCGAUUUUUACUGUUGACUUUGAUCAAUAUGCCCCAUUAACAUUAAAGCAAGCCUGUCGUCUGCUCA